AGGGAUAAAUGUUUGUCAGCAUUGCAAAGGGGAAGUACGUGCCACCAAUCAUGCUGGAUGUGACGUGUCAAAUGUGGGCCAAGCAAAUGAUUUGAUGAUGACCGAUGCUACAGUCCAUUACUCCUCAGUGAGAGUAAACAGAGGGAACAGGAAGAGGAGUGACUCAACACAAGACUGUGUGUAUGCUGCUGUUAGACAAGAGUCCCACACUCAGCGGCAACCAUCAGCGUAGGCCAAGAAGGGCAGGAGUUGUAGUCCUUUAAUAGACGCU